rnacentral:tRNA from 1 species
GAGGAUAUAGCUCAGUGGUAGAGUGUAUGCCUGGGGUGCAUGAGGUCAUGGGUUCAAUCCCUGGUACCUCCA